rnacentral:lncRNA from 1 species
AAUGCUGCAGUGAUGGAGGAUGAUGAAGAUCUGGAGACUCUGGGAGAGAAACUGUUUGAUCUGAUAUAUCCUAAAUACACUGAGAUGACACCUAAACUUACAGGUGAUACCGAAUCUAUCUGUCUAUAAUAUUGUGAUGAUUCUAGUUGAACUGUAGCUGUGUGAUGUUUGCAGGUAUGCUGUUGGAGUUGAAAGCCUGCUUGUGUUGUGUCUCAGAUGUUGUAUGAUGAAGGUCUGCUGAAUAAAGCACUGGCCGCUCUCACAUCACCUGACGACAGUGAACCCAUGUCUCACACUGAUGACGCGGCGUCUGUGUCCUCCGCCUCUCUGGGGGACCGCUGUAUGACCUCACUGACCUCUACAACACUGGACACACACAGAAAAUAACAGCUCAGGCAGAGUGCCGAGGGGACAGAAGUGAGCGACGGCUCUGACAGAGAGGAAGUGGAAUCCAUUGGCAAGACGCUUUUCAAUGUUGUGCAUCAGUUAGACCCCACCCACUGCGCUGACAUCACCGGUGAGUUACUCAGCUCAGCUGAAUACUGACUUCUGAACUUGAGAUGUGUAUGUGCACACUGUGUGAUAUGUUAAAUGUGUGAACAUUAGGAAUGCUGAAACAGAUUCUGUCCGAACGGAGCAUCCUGGAAGUUGCAGUUCAGAGAGCAAAAAGUGCACUGGUACUUUAACCAAAUGUACACACACUCCCAAGGCUUUAUUGUAAUU